UUUGAUUGUGUAACCCAAAACAUUGUCACUCGCCUGUCGUCAGACAAAUCUAAUCAAAUCUAGGGUCUCGCCAAACAGCCACGCUUCAAGUAACUGGAAGCGGGAGAAGGCACUGCUCUUACGCGAAUUCAGCUCUGCGCUUGCGCACGAGCCCGCUGGUAACUGCUCAAAUGAACCUUUGAUCAUAAAAGUCGUUCGUCUUCUGUUGACUGCAAUGUGAAAUGUAAUCGCUUGGAGCGCUGGCGUUGCUCCAGCUAUUUGACGUCUGUGUAGUGUAUAAAGUGUUUGUGUGCAUGGCAAUUUGCUUCGAAGUUUGUGUGUUCCUUUGACUACUUUUUUAAUCUUGCUUCGUCUAGGGCGGGGGGGUAAUAAAUCGACAUAUUGCAUGUUAUUAAUUGUGUGUGUUGGUGGGCACGUGGCAUAUGCUGCAGGCGACUUCAGCAAGCCAGAAAAGAGGAGCUGGUCACAUUCUUAACAAUUCUUUCUUAGCUUUCCAUUCUACGUUUGUCUAUUUUUGAGCACUGGAUGCCAUAAGUUAAAAAGCGCUUCAUCCGUUUCCUACUUUUUAUUAAUUUUGUAGUUAGUGGAACACUAAUUCCAUUUUCAAAAAUAAAAAUGGUUUUAUUCUCCACAUAGUGUACGAAACAUUUUUUUUACCUUCACAUAUUCCCUCUUCCGUGCUGUAUAAUUCGCUUCAUAUGUUUCUGUAGUUAUUUUGGUUAAUGUGCAAUGUGAUACUCGAGUGCUGUGUUGUAAACUAGAGAAGCUCUCUCUUGUAUCAAGACACCACAGUGUCUCAGUUUGCUUGACUUCUGCGCAUGUAGCAUUUCUCAGGAGAGUAUUCUGUUUGUAACAUGAGAAGGCACUUUACUGAGCAAAUUCUGAAAUAUACACUCAUCCAUUCGUGAGUGAUUUAUAUAUCGUCAUUUUUAACUGUUUUCCGUCUUAUCCUUUAGUUGCUUUAAAUUCGUGGAGGUAUGUGCCGUCUAUGCAACUAAAUGAAGGCAGUUUGUUUGUUGCCAUACGCGUUUCGCUUCAUUUUGUAACCUAAAAAAAAAAAAAUACCGACAAAAUGUAAUAUAUCAACAGAUUAUAUCUAGUAGAUAAUACGCUUAUUGUAUAUAUAAAAAGAAACAUGUAUUUCAGGCCACUGAUGAUGCUUCCCAAAUAAAUGAAGCGAAACGCGUAUGGCAACAAACAGACUGCCUUCAUUUAGUUGCAUAGACGGCACAUACCUCCACGGAUUUAUAUAUGUUUUGACGACGACCUCCAUUUGCGACUCUCGUAACAAAUUUUGCUGAAUGCUUUUACGAUCUCGAAGUAAUACCUAGAUGGCUUCAUCCAAGUAGCUUCCCUGCUUUCCGCCCCUUUUUUUUGCAAAUAGACACACAAUGCAAUUGUGGUACAAGCAACUGCAUCCGAUAAUAAGUUGUCUCAUCUUGAAAUGUGACGAAAAAUAUGACGACACUGUAAUAACCCUGUUUAUAUUAUACUUCUUAAAUAGGUUCAUGUUCGAAAAUUGUUGCACCACGCCUGCACAAUUGUUGGUUACCAAUAGUUCUGUUCCCGGAAAGCUUGUAUACCACAGGAAAUUUUUCCCACCCAACAUUAUGACAGCAUACAACAGUAAUACAAAUUUAUGCAAGUAAAUUACCCAGAGAGGUUUGGAGCAUGUACCUGUAAUAUAAUUAAUAUUCAUUCUUUAAUUGUGGUUCGCAGUUCCCAUCAAGGAGGAGGGCCUUCUGAAUGUAUUAAGAUAACACAAGCAACUGUUCUGAAAUUAAUCUGUAUACACACAUAAUUAUGUCUUUAACUAUAGUAUGUUGUGUGAUCUAUUUGUUCUGUACCUCUGCGCCCUAGUAAAUCCCAACAUACAUAUUGUGGUGGCUCACUGAGCUCUCCACAGUUUUUGAAUGGAUUUUAUACUAAAAGCCCAUGUCUUGGGUCAUGAGUUGGAACUGAUAAUGUUAACGGAGUUUGUUCGUUUUCAGACAUGUAGAAAGUUUACUUUUAAAAUUUCUAUUUAGUUUACCAAAAUCACUGCAGGCCCUCUUUAUUUCUGUUUAUUUGUUUUGCUGUCUGUUCAUUCGUCAUUUCAUCUGCAGCACAUACAAAAUCUCAUGAACAAGUUUUAUGGAGAAACUGGUUAGUUAAAACUUGUUACUUAAUAUGAAUCACCUUUUUAUUAUUUUAGUGUUAUUGCAAUUCACUUUUUGUGCUGUUCUUAAAACACCUACAAAAAUUACUUUUUCAUUGGAGCAAACAGUAGGAUGUCAUCUUCCAGACAAAGUUAGUUAAGAUAUGUUUAAUUAGUCCGUAUCAAUAUUGCUUCUUUGUUUUCUCAGUUUAAGGACCUGAGAAUCUCUCUCCAGGGUUGCUGAGAAUAGUUGUUGUGAUAGGAAAUUGCCUUGCCUGACUCCUCUAUUCAAUUCUGAAUUAGGUGAUUUAAAGAGCUGAUGCAGAAAUUCAGUGACAUUGUGAUAUGAAUAGUCUCCCCAGGGCCACAGAAAUAUCUAGAGUGUUGGGAUUGGGCAUUAUAUGGAAAUUCUACUAAAUGUACUUAAGAUAAACAUAGGAUUUCAUCCAUUACUUGAAAAUGUUAAAUUGAAUAUAAUGUGUAUAUGAGGCUAGAUCAGUACGAACAAAACAGAAGAGAUAUUGUUCUAUGGAUAUGUAUAAAGAGAGAAUGGUAAACUGCAAAGCUUUUGAAAUAACUUUUGCCCAGAGGCAAAAAAUAAAAAUGUAUCAACCAAAUAUUGGUUAACUAUAAUGAGACAUUGACUGUCAUUGAUUUCUCAUAAUUUUGUUCAUUAUGAAUAUGUGAACAGCUGUACAUCUUUCUUGGAUAGCACCCUAUAUUUUUUUAUUUGGUAAUUUACUUCUUCUCCCCAAGACCCAUUCAAAAAUGUCCCAGUGUAGCGUUCAUGUAAACAUGACAUAAUUUAAAACAUAACAUAAAACUGAGUACGACUCGCAUAUACUGGCACACAGUGCAGCUACCUGGGGUACUGUGAUUCGUCCACAUACUGGCGUUAACAGUAAAUAAAUGGAAAUAUGAGGAAAAUGCACACUGGUCAUUGAGUCCACUGUUUUCUACUGAAGGUCUGUGGGAGUGCAUCUAUGAAGGAUUUAAGUUGGCAGAACAGUAUUCCCAAUAAGGUUUUCUUAUUUACAAUGCAGAUACAUUUAGUACAUCAUGGUAGUGUCUUUAAAUGAUAUGUUGUGUAGAGUAAAGGCAGUUCUUGAUUAAAAACUGCAUCAUCAUUACUCAGGCAGAGGAACUCUGCAGAGAGUGGUAUCCUGACAAGAACCCACCUUUUCAGGAGACGUUUUUUCGUCUUCUUGUGAGUCUUCAGGAAGUUUCAAUCCAAGACAUUCAAUCAUGAUAUAACUUGUGCAGAAGAAUCUGCAGAGGUAUUAUUCUUGUUUAUGUUGCAAUGAAUCCACAGGAGAGCACAUGGCAACUUGGACAGGAAAUUAACAUCCUUAUCAUGUAUACCUAUAAAAAGAAUUAAACAAUGGAAAAGCCAGGGUGAAAUGUAACAAAGAAUUACAUGAGAGAUUUUCAGUACCAUGUAUAAUUCUAUCAGUGACACAGCAUCAGAACCUUGUCAACUAGAACUACUAUUCUCACUUUCAUUUUAGCAAUGAAUGUUCCGUCUCAGAGGGCAGGUAAAUGCAACGAACAUUUAGGACAUAUCCCAACUUUGUCAGACGAAUUUUUUUUUUUUUUUUCUCACCCUCUGGUUGAAGUGCCACUAAAAGGGCACAAGACACAAGUGAUGGAUCACAGUGCUCCGUUUUCUGCAAUGUCACCAGCAAUCGGUCGCUUGCCUAGAGACCCCACACAUGAGUGAUUGCCAAGCAAUUGCAGUCGGUGUUAUGAACAUCACUUUGUCAAGAAGUUGUGCUAGACAGCUAUGCUUCACAGCAGUUGCUGUUGAUUUCCGUAUCCCCACGAUUACUUGAAAAAUGUAAAUUUAAAUAGAUGUGAAUGAUAAGGUAUUAACCUUGUUUAGAAAUGCUUUUCUUGGGAAGUGUUUAUUACUUGAAUAUAUUACAUUUUCUACUGAUGUCAAAUGGAUUAUGUACAUCUUUCCAGUGUGCCAAUACAAUUCAUUUCACAUUUACUACUCUUCAGUUCCUUUUUUAUUCAUUAGUAUUAUUGUCUAAGUGCAAUUUAUUAAGUGAAUCUAUAGAGAUAGUGUCAAUGACAGCAUUAAUGAUUAGCAUAAUUCUUCUUUUAAAUUGUGUGAAGGAGAAUUAAAUUUUAUGAUAUGACAAGAGACUUGAAUAUAACGGUAUACUAGAUUUGUCUUGAACUUUAAAUUAAGUGUCCUCUUAACAUUACAGUGUGAAGGCAACAUGCAUCAUUAUGUCUAGAAAUUAAAAACUUUGACAAUGACUUUAACUAUUUCAUAAAUUACUCAAAAUCAUAAGGUGGCACCCAUUGUAUCAUGACCAUUACUUUGAAAUUCCCAUCAAUUCUACUUCUGCAGUACAAACUUCAAAAAGCUAAUCAUUGCGAAAUUUGAGGGAGUAUUUUGUUUUACUUCUAAAUACAAGUGGCAUCUCUUGCAUUCUCCUCACUUCUCAGACCAAUUUGUGGUCUCUGCAUCACUAUAAAUUCUAACACAAAUUUGUUACUCAACUUGGGCUUGGUCCGAGCUGCCACAGUUGGUGGUCACGUGUGUGUGCGGUGUACUUGCUUGUGUGACUGAAUGGUGUGUGUUUCUCUCUUUUUUCUGAUGAAGGCUGCAGCCAAAAGCUAAUGUGUAUACUUAAACAGCACCUGUCUGCAACUUAACAUGUCAUCUUUACACCAUCAACACCAGGGGACACUGUACAGUCAGCACAAACAUCAGUAGAAAUUAACAGAAGAAUCAUAGAAGCAGGAAACCCACAACCCUUAAGAAUUUUUGGUGUCCUACCCCAAGAACAACAUAAAUUUAGCACAGGCUACCACACUGUUAAUCAUUUCUGCAGAUAAGACUAAAAGGGAGGUCGCUGUCUGAUCCUUGCCAUAGACAGUGUAGACUGUAAUCCCAUACAACCAAGCUAUGAAAAGCAUUUUGAAAUGUUGCAGUAGUGAUUACAUUCAAGAAGCAUUUAGCAGUAUGUUUCUAGUGAUUAGUGAUGAUAUCAUACUAGUGUUUACUUCGGAACUAAACUUAGUGCUAUGACGCUAUAAUUCAAAGUACCCUAAUAUUUUGCUGUAUGGUGACCUUAACACAAAUUUUUAAAAGGCUCAUCGUCUUGUCAUAACGUGAAUGUGGUAAAAUGCUAUAACAUGGAAAAUAUGAAUCACAGGUUUGCAGGAAUAACAGCUACUAAUCUUUCUGCUAUUGACAGCUUUUUUGUUAAUACCAAUAUUUCAUCAUUAUUGCACAUUAAACAAUAUUUUCUGUGGCAUAUUGUAUUAUAAUUGUUUCAUAUGAAUUAUAGCUGUACUAAACACUAAUAAGCAGACAGACACAUAUACAAAUGAGCAUCAUUGGGCAACAAAAACGAUGUAUCAACUUCCACACAUUUUCUCUGUAGAGAUGACUGAAGUUGUGUUCAUAGUGCUUGUGAUGUUAACAGCGAACAUAUGAAUUAUGGGCACUCUGCAGGACAGUUAUGAUGUGGCAUUUCAAAUUAGGUUUAUUUCUACACGGCACCAAUUUGGGGGGGGGGGGGGGGUGCAGUAAGAAGUUGUUAGUUCUAGGAAUGCAACUAUCUUGUUGCUUGCAUACAGCAGAAUUGUGAACAAUAAGUUAUUUUAUGAGUAUUUCAGACUAAAAAAUUUCAGAACAAGGUUACUCAUAAAACCAAAAAACUGUACAACUGGCAAUUUAUAGUAAACUCGAGGAGUAAAUCAAAAGUCAUGUAGGAAAUUAUUAGUGGGACAAUGGGUGUGAUAGCAAUUUCCCUCAGUAACGCACAUUAAGAAUGAGGGUAGUGUUGUACAUGACUAUAAAUAAAUAUGUGAAGUAUUCAAUAACCACUUCACAAACACUAGCGAAACUUUAUAUUCUUGGAUUGGCACUUAGAGCCCUCUUUCUGGUCAGAGCUAGAGUUAUACCCUAAAAUAUUGUUUCUUGAUACAGUUACACUAGCUGAAAUCUUAAAAAUUAUAAAGCAGAAACCAAACUCUCAUGCAUGCAGUUUUGAUAGCAUAUUGAAUUAUCUUCUCAAACAGAGAAGUAACUUGUCUGUCACUUAUAAUAAACUGCUCCUUGCUGUUGGGCCAAGUGCAUAAAAUUUUCAAGGCAGCAAAAGCAGUUUCUCCUUUUAAAAAUUAUGAUGUUAACAAUUACAGGCUCAUCUUGAUUGUGUCAAGCAUACCCAGGGUUCUCAAGAAAGCAAUGUAUGACUGUGUUAUUAAGUUCCUGAAAAACGACUGUUUAACAAGCCCUUUGUCUGUUUGGACGUCAAAAAGGGAGCUAAAUAAAUGGGCCCCUAUGUUUGUUUCUGAAUGAAGUUUGUAGUGCACUCAGUGACAUAAAGCAUGCAACAGGAGUAUCCAUUGAUUCUGCAAAGUCCUUCAAUCUCAUCAAUCGUGAAUUACUCGCAGAGAAACUGCUAAAGUAUGGAAUUUGGGGAAUAUCCAACAGUUGGUUUGUAUGAUAUUUUUCAGAGUACAAAAAGUUGUAAUCACCUCAAAAAUGUUGGAAGUGUACAGUUAAAGGAGAACCAAGCAUAUUAUUCUUGAUGGUGAGUGUUCAUUAGAGGUACUGUUAUCAUCCUAUAUUCUGUGUGGUUAUAUUAAAGUGUAGCUAGUUGGAGAGAUCCAAUUUGGGCUGUAAUUAUCAUAUGGCAGUGAAACCUGGCAGAUAUUCUAAUGUGUUAAUGUGGAACUGAUUUACGCUGGGAAAAAAAGUUCCAAUUUUGGCCAUUAGAUGCAAAUCUGGUGUUGUGAAUGCAAGGAAGACACACAGAAAUGUUUCUAUAAAUGUAUUAGGAACAGGAUGUGGGCAGAAGAGAUCAAACAGGCGAGAAAAGCAUAAUACUGAUUUUACUGUUAACUGCUGCUUACAAAGGUUGUUCAAUACGAGCACUAUAGAUUGUGAUAAAAUGCUGCAUCUGUAAAAUGAUAUGAUCAACAUUUGCUUGCAGCAGUUGCGGUGGAAUUUGAGCAGCACGUUCCUGUAUAAUGGCCUUCAGAUCGGGUAGAGACCGAAUGAGUCCCUGGUAAAUGCUUCUGUUAGGCAUCUCCAUAACAAAAAGUCACAUGGAUUUAGAUCAGCUGAUCUUGUAGAUCAUAUCUGGAAAACCUCUGGAGGUAACACCUUUAAGGAAGGUUGCAUUGAGCAGGUAUUUCAGUGGGUGAGCGACAUGAGGUGUUGCCCCAUUUUGUAUGAAAAGACUGGUUUCCACACAGUUGCACUGUUCCAAAGCAGGAACCACGUGCUGUUCGAGGGGGUUUUGAUAAUGUGCAAACAUGACAGGACACCACUCACCACUCUUUGGUGAGUUCAUGCUUGGCUACCAUGGGUUGCCGUCCUUUGCAGCAGCUCUUCCCUUUCCUUGCUGCAUGUCUCUCUUGCUUUCACCUCCCUGGGGAACAUAUCUUGGGUAGUUUGCAUUCUGAAGUUUCAGUAGCCUGUCUGUUUUUUCCUUCUUUCUUCAUUCUCCAUCUCCUCCCCUUCCUCAAAUUCAGCAUUUGUGGUCUCCCUUUGUUUCUUCGUCCUCCCUGUGCAUUCCUGAAGAACAGUCCAUGCAUUUGAUGUGUAACAGGUGACAGGAUAACGCAUAAUUCCCGGUCCCUGGUUGGUUGGCAGGAUUUGCAAGUAUGCCCUGGUACAGGCCAGCCCCAGGGUAGGUUGACCGCCUGAGCUGUUCCCUCCCCUGCUACCAAAUGGUCUCUCUGUCUGGAGUUCGGGUGGUGGGAACAGUCACCUAAGGUGGAUAAGCUGUCCUCUGAGGGCCCAUCAGUUGAAAGGAGUGCGCCAUCGGAGAUUCUGCCAGUUGUGGGGGAUUUUUUUGCAGUAGACCAUCACCUUUAUCUCAAUCCACGUCUAUUAAACAUAAACAGAAUGAGGCUAAAGAUUGAACGACUCUGUCCCGCGCACUUCAGUUCCUCGUGGUUUCAUGUACAGAAAGAGGUCAGGCCUUUGCUACAGUUAAUCCAUUUAUUAUUCAGAAAGGUGUUAUGCAAUUGCAGGCCCUGUGAAAUCCUGCUCUUGCCUAUGCAAUGGGACUUUGUUUCUGGAGAUCAAUUGUGAUUGUCAAGCCCAACAAUUGCUUACAGCUUUGCUCCUCCACUGCUAUCCUGUUCACGUAAAGGCUCAUUGUACGCUGAAUUCUUCCCAUGGUGUUAUUUACACUCAGUUGCUUUAUGGUGUGACUGAGGGGGAAAUCCAACAUUAUCUCUCUGAUCAGGGAGUCACUAUGGCCCAUUGGGUAACAAAAAAGGUUGAUGCAAACUUAGUGCCUACACGAGUUCUCAUAUUUGAUUGAGUAGUGCUUCCGUUGAAGAUUAAGGUAGGCUAUGAAGUCAUUAUGGUCUGUCCAUACAAUCCAAACCAAAUGAAUUGCUAUCAGUGUCAAUGUUAUAAACACGUAUCCUAUCAAAACAUGACCAAAUGUGUUACUUGCGGUAGAAAUGCUUGUGAGGACAACUGUCUGUACCAACUGUAAUGGUGGCCGUCCUGCCUUAUCCUGUGAGUGUCCUAUGAAUCUCAAUGAGCAGGCCGCCCAGGAGAUCUGGGUGGAGGAAAAAGUACCCAACCCUCUCACUUGCAAGAUGUUGAUGAGUUGAAAGUGCUGCAUUUUACCAUCCGGCACUUACAGCACUGUUUUUGCAAUGCCUUUCUCCACGAAGUACAUGGCCAUGUAGACUUGUGACCUCCAGUCCAGCACUGCACCUAUAAAAUCGCACAGUAUCAUGGUAGCUUCCCCAUAUCCUUACUAAUAAGUGUCUUACUGCAUUCAUCUAAUUUCAUCCUGUGUUAUUGUUUUAGUGGCUAACAUGAUCAGUGAGUUAUUGCUUAUAUGGAUUUUGUCAUUAAUUACUUUCUUUUUCAUUGCAAGGGAUCUUUGUGUGUGAAAGUUUUCUUGUAAUGUGAGGAGAUUUUUGUUGCGAUUGUUCACUGUAAUAAGUUUCAUGUCAUGUUCUAUGUUGGAUGGCUCAUGUCCAUGUUUUAUAAGGUGUUCGGCAAAUGUAGAAUGGCUAUUUUCGUACUUCCAGCUUCUUAUAUGCUCUUUUUAUGUAGUUUUGAAAUUCCUGUCUGUCAUCCCCAGAUAUACUGAUUCACAUUCUUGGCAUUCUAAUUGGUAUAUACUUGCUCCUUAGUAUUUAUCUGAUUUGUCUGUUAUUGUUUGUAAAUGUGACUGUAGUGUGUUUCUAGUUCUGUAAGCAAUGUGUAAUCCCUGUUUCUUUAAUAUAUUUGCUAUACUGUGUGUUGAUUUGUGUUUAUGUUAAAGUGUGCCAUUUCCUUCUGUCAGUCAUGUCAUGAAUGUCACUGUUUUGUGUUUUCGCAUGUGAUGUAGUGUCUGUGGGGUUCUUUAGUGUUUGUAUUCUCUGCUUGUUUUCAUUUUUCUUUGGUUGUGUUUUGUCGUUUUAGUGGAGUCCUUGUACUAUAUGAAUGUUGUAACUAUUGUCUGCGGCUAUGAGUUGCAUUGUUUGUAAUUCUUUUUCACAGUUUUCUUUACUUUGUGGGAUAUUAUUUAGUCUGUGUAACAUGUGUCGUAAGGCCACCAAUUUUUGAUUUUGGGGUGGUUGGAUGAAGCAUAUAUAAUUGCAUCUGUGGGUGCUGGCUUUCUGAAGAUGUCAAAUGGGUGCUUAUUGCUGUCUCUCUUUAUUGUUAUCUCCAAGACAUGUAUUUCCUUUUGUGUUUCUUUUUCCAUGGUGAAUUGAAUAGUUUUAUGUGUAUUUUUUUUAUAUCUCAUUUUCCCUUCUGGUAUUGUAGUUAUGUACCUUAUUGUUUCAUUUGAACUGUAGUGGAUUAUAUACAGCAAACUUCAUGAAGGAAUAAAUAUACUGUGAAGCAGUAGUCAAUCAUAAUUAUAUAGUAUAAUAUAAUAAUAAUAUUAAUACUUUAUUCAGCAUCGGAUAAUUCAUUGUAUAUGUAUAAAAACAGGUUACAAUUCUUGAUAGAUAGCACAAUAAUACAUUCUUCUGAAUAUGUCAUUGAUUAACAAAAUGAUUAAAUUAAAAAUAAAAUGGUUUGCUUAACACUAUUUACAUAUUUGUUGAAGCACUUCUUAUUCUGCAUGUAAGUAUAGUAUUCUUCUAAUGUGUCAAAUGGAAAUUGUAACAGGAAUUUCUUUAGCUGAAAUGACUACAUUCAUACUCUAGACAUACAGUUGUAAAUUUCAAUCAUGAUAGAUGUUGUAUCUCUAGCCAUAUACUAAAUAAAUAAUAAAUUAGCUGAAAUUUAACCUUCAUUGUGGGUAGGGUCAUAACUUUAUAACUUUACUGGAGAGUGCAUUGGCUAUCUUUAAACCUGCAUAUUGUGGAUUCUUUUCAUAGAAUGCUGUUCUGUCGUUGCUGAUGUAAAAUUUUUCUUUAUUUCUGGCAUUGUAAUGGUACAAAUUGGAACAAAUGUUGGGCUGCAGUCUUUUAACAAGUAAUAUGGCUUUUUGAAUGUACAUGUUCACUAUGGUUAGUACACCAGUUUUUGGAAACAAUCCAUGGCAUGAUUCCUUAUAUUUUGCUCCGUAGAUGAUUCUUAUAGCUCUUUUCUGAAGUGGCAAUAGCUUAUUUAGAUUUGUGUUGGUUGUUUCCCCCCUUAUUUCUAUUCCAUAAUUCAGGUGAGAGGAAAAUAGUGUGGUAUGAAGUCUUUAGGACAACAGUGUCUUUGCAGAACUUGCUGAUCAUAUUAAUUGCAAAUAUAUUCUUAGACAACUUACAUGCUCAUAUCAACAUGUGUGUCCCACUUUAGAUUGCUCUGAAUUGUUAAACUGAGAAAUUUUACACUGAGCUCUUUUUCUUUUCUCUUUUCUUUCUUUCUUUCUUUCUUUUUUUUAAUUUUUAUUAUUAUUUUUUAUUAACUGAUUGUCUCUGUAUAGUGUAAUUUCAUCAUUAAAGCUACUGUUGUUAAACUCCA